GCUGAGAUAGUCUAAUUGGUAAAACAAUGGAUUCAUGCUCCAUAUUUGUGGGUUCGAGUCCCACUCUCAGCA
rnacentral:tRNA from 1 species